GGUAGCUCAGUGGUAGAGUGCUUGCCUUGCAUGCAUGAGGCCCUGGGUUCAAUUCCUCAGUACCA
rfam:Dipodomys ordii contig_52003, whole genome shotgun sequence.